rnacentral:rRNA from 1 species
GUAAGGAAUAUUGGUCAAUGGGCGGAAGCCUGAACCAGCCAUGCCGCGUGCAGGACGACGGCCCUACGGGUUGUAAACUGCUUUUGCCCGGGAAUAACCCCCCGCUCUUGAGCGGGGCUGAACGUACCGGGAGAAUAAGGAUCGGCUAACUCCGUGCCAGCAGCCGCGGUAAUACGGAGGAUCCGAGCGUUAUCCGGAUUUAUUGGGUUUAAAGGGUGCGUUGGCGGCCCGUUAAGUCAGGGGUGAAAUACGGCAGCUCAACAGUCGCGGUGCCCUGGAGACUGACGGGCUCGAAUACCGGUGAAGGCGGCGGAAUGAGACAAGUAGCGGUGAAAUGCAUAGAUAUGUCUCAGAACCCCGAUUGCGAAGGCAGCUGCCUAACCGGCGAUUGACGCUGAUGCACGAAAGCGUGGGGAUCGAACAGGAUUAGAUACCCGUGUAGUCC